rnacentral:lncRNA from 1 species
CCAGCUGCUCCAGCUGUUGAUCCUGACCUGUACACAGCUUCCCAGGGGGAUAUCCGCCUGACCCCGGAGGACUUCGCUAGAGCUCAGAAGUACUGCAAGUAUGCUGGCAGUGCCCUGCAGUAUGAAGAUGUGGGCACCGCUGUGCAGAACCUCCAGAAGGCCCUCAGGCUGCUGACCACAGGCAGGGAGUGAAGCCUCUGUUCACGGAAGCCAGUGUUUUCCGCAUAGAGAACUAACAGUCCGUUACACUUUCCUCAGCCUUCAGGAGCAGGGGACUACAGAAGGCCUCAGUUCCCCGAGGAAGACAAUGACUCCUGUGUGGUUCAGAAGCAUUUACCAGCUGCCUCAGCCAGUUGUCAUUGAGUGUGUAGAGCUGAUGCUAGCAUCGAACCCGCUGUGAAAUGUCCCUGUAGAAAAUCAUGUUGGGUAUAAUAUGCUUUCUUAAUUUAUACACACUAAAGGAAGUUUUUGAAAGAUCUGUAAUAUUUGGACAAACAAACCAUAUUAUGUUGCUUUAAUAUUCUAAAUUAAACUUUUAAUAAAGAUUACCAGAAUAGUCCGGGUUGGAGAUCCUGACUUUUUCUUCCCUUAGGAUUUGCAAGGCAAAUGUGAACAUCCAAAAGUGGUAAAUGAUAAGAGAGAUUAAAUGCACUUUAUAUUCCUGUUUUAAUAUAACUGUAAAAAUCAAAGAUCACAGAAGGAAACACCAUGUGGAGUGAUAGAAUCAUUGUACUGGAAAAUCACACUGGUUUCCUGGGACUCCUCCUGCCCACUGGCAAUUACAGUGUAUUGCUCUCCUUCAUCAGCAGCUAAUGUAUGUAUGAAAAAGUGAAGAAAGGGCUGCAUUUAGCACAGGAAACAGCAGGCCGUGGUUCUCAGAGUUGCAGUUGUAUGGUUUAUGCUUAUUACUGUCUAGCCCUUUUUUAAAAAAUGACUGGAAAUCUAAUCUACUAGAGAGAAAAAGUCACUAACUCAUUAUUUUUUGUGUCCAUUUUUCUGCUCAUCAAUAUAUUACUGUGCACAGUUUGAUAGAACAGAUGUACAUAGUGACUGAACUGUCAACAUCACAAAGAAUCCACAAAGUACAUCUCCUGAAAAGUGCUCUCAUGAAAUAAACAUGACUCUGGCUCAACAUUU